CUUGCGCCAGCAAGCACCUGCUUCCGAACCAGGUCAGGUCGGAAACGAAGCAGCCUUAAGGAAGCGUGGACUGUGCUGGCGCCCUAUU
rfam:Hydrogenibacillus schlegelii strain DSM 2000 scaffold23, whole genome shotgun sequence.